rnacentral:rRNA from 1 species
AUGUCAGCGGCGGACGGGUGAGUAACACGUGGGCAACCUGCCUGUAAGACUGGGAUAACUUCGGGAAACCGGAGCUAAUACCGGAUAACUUCGAGCACCUCCUGGUGCUUGGAUAAAAGACGGCGUCUAGCUGUCACUUACAGAUGGGCCCGCGGCGCAUUAGCUAGUUGGUGAGGUAACGGCUCACCAAGGCGACGAUGCGUAGCCGACCUGAGAGGGUGAUCGGCCACACUGGGACUGAGACACGGCCCAGACUCCUACGGGAGGCAGCAGUAGGGAAUCUUCCGCAAUGGACGAAAGUCUGACGGAGCAACGCCGCGUGAGCGAUGAAGGCCUUCGGGUCGUAAAGCUCUGUUGUUAGGGAAGAACAAGUACCAGAGUAACUGCUGGUACCUUGACGGUACCUAACCAGAAAGCCACGGCUAACUACG